UACGAAGGGAGCUAGCGUUGUCCGGAUUUAUUGGGCGUAAAGAGCUCGUAGGCGGCUCGGUAAGUCGGGUGUGAAACCUCCAGGCUCAACCUGGAGACGCCACCUGAUACUGCUGUGGCUAGAGUCCGGUAGGGGAGUGUGGAACUCCUGGUGUAGCGGUGAAAUGCGCAGAUAUCAGGAAGAACACCAGCGGCGAAGGCGGCACUCUGGGCCGGAACUGACGCUGAGGAGCGAAGGCGUGGGUAGCAAACAGG
rnacentral:rRNA from 1 species